rnacentral:sRNA from 1 species
GGCCGGGCCGCGACAACCGGGCACGGCGGCGAGGAAGUACAGGGCUUAUUUUCCCGGUUUCUGGCCUUGGGCAGCGAAUAGCCACGCGCACUUCUGUACCGCCCGGUCC